rnacentral:rRNA from 1 species
UACGAAGGGGGCUAGCGUUGCUCGGAAUCACUGGGCGUAAAGCGCACGUAGGCGGACUCUUAAGUCGGUGGUGAAAUCCUGGAGCUCAACUCCAGAACUGCCUUCGAUACUGAGAGUCUUGAGUCCGAGAGAGGUGAGUGGAACUGCGAGUGUAGAGGUGAAAUUCGUAGAUAUUCGCAAGAACACCAGUGGCGAAGGCGGCUCACUGGCCCGAUACUGGCGCUGAGGCACGAAAGCGUGGGGAGCAAACAGG